GACGAACGCUGGCGGCGUGCUUAACACAUGCAAGUCGAACGGAAAGGCCCUGCUUUUGUGGUGUGCUCGAGUGGCGAACGGGUGAGUAACACGUGAGUAACCUGCCCUUGACUUUGGGAUAACUUCAGGAAACUGGGGCUAAUACCGGAUAGGAGCUCCUGCUGCAUGGUGGGCGUUGGAACGUUUCGGCGGUUGGGGAUGGACUCGCGGCUUAUCAGCUUGUUGGUGGGGUAGAGGCUUACCAAGGCUUUGACGGGUAGCCGGCCUGAGAGGGUGACCGGCCACAUUGGGACUGAGAUACGGACCAGACUCCUACGGGAGGCAGCAGUGGGGAAUAUUGCACAAUGGGCGGAAGCCUGAUGCAGCAACGCCGCGUGCGGGAUGACGGCCUUCGGGUUGUAAACCGCUUUCGCCUGUGACGAAGCGUGAGUGACGGUAAUGGGUAAAGAAGCACCGGCUAACUACGUG
rnacentral:rRNA from 1 species